AUUGAACGCUGGCGGCAGGCCUAACACAUGCAAGUCGAACGAGUGGCGGACGGGUGAGUAAUGUCUGGGAACCUGCCCGAUGGAGGGGGAUAACUACUGGAAAAGGUAGCUAAUACCGCAUACCAUCGGAUGUGCCCAGAUGGGAUUAGCUAGUAGGUGGGGUAACGGCUCACCUAGGCGACGAUCCCUAGCUGGUCUGAGCGGAUGCCCAGCCACACUGGAACUUAGACACGGUCCAGACUACUACGGGAGGCAGCAGUGGGGAAUAUUGCACAAUGGGGGAAAGCCUGAUGCAGCCAUGCCGCGUGUAUUAAGAAGGCCUUCGGGUUGUAAAGUACUUUCAGCGGGGAGGCGUUACCCGCAGAAGAAGCACCGGCUAACUCCGUGCCAGCAGCCGCGGUAAUAC
rnacentral:rRNA from 1 species